GGGGUUCCUAGAAAAGCUAUGUGGGCAAUACAGGUCCCGUACUAAAACUGACACAGGUAGACGAGGCGAAUAGCCUCAGGCGCUCGAGAGAAUGGUUGUGAAGGAAUUAGGCAAAAUCACUCCGUACGUUCGCAAGAAGGAGGCCCUUCGGGGCGCAGAGAAAAGGUCCUGGCAACUGUUUAUCAAAAACACAGCACUGUGCUAACUCGCAAGAGGAUGUAUACAGUGUGACGCUUGCCCAAUGCCCGAAUGUCACGGGAGCAGGUUAG
rnacentral:rRNA from 1 species